rnacentral:rRNA from 1 species
GAAACCAACAGGGAUUGCCCCAGUAGCGGCGAGCGAAGCGGCAACAGCUCAAAUUUGAAAUCUGGCCCUCGGGUCCGAGUUGUAAUUUGUAGAGGAUGCUUUUGGCGCGGUGCCUUCCGAGUUCCCUGGAACGGGACGCCUGAGAGGGUGAGAGCCCCGUACGGUUGGACGCCAGGCCUCUGUAAAGCUCCUUCGACGAGUCGAGUAGUUUGGGAAUGCUGCUCUAAAUGGGAGGUAAAUUUCUUCUAAAGCUAAAUAUUGGCCAGAGACCGAUAGCGCACAAGUAGAGUGAUCGAAAGAUGAAAAGCACUUUGAAAAGAGGGUUAAAAAGCACGUGAAAUUGUUGAAAGGGAAGCGUUUGCGACCAGACCUCUUCCUGGCGGAUCAUCCGGCGUUCUCGCCGGUGCACUUCGCCAGGUUCAGGCCAGCAUCGGCUCUCGCAGGGGGACAAAAGCUCUGGGAACGUAGCUCCCUCGGGAGUGUUAUAGCCCUCUGCACAAUACCCUUGCGGGGGCCGAGGACCGCGCUUCGGCAAGGAUGCUGGCGUAAUGGUCGUCAACGACCCGUCUUGAAACACGGACCAAGGAGUCGAACAUUUGUGCGAGUGUUUGGGUGUCAAACCCUCACGCGUAAUGAAGGUGAACGUAGGUGAGAGCCCUCGCGGGCGCAUCAUCGACCGAUCCUGAUGUCUUCGGAUGGAUUUGAGUAAGAGCAUGACUGUUCGGACCCGAAAGAUGGUGAACUAUGCGUGGAUAGGGUGAAGCCAGAGGAAACUCUGGUGGAGGCUCGCAGCGGUUCUGACGUGCAAAUCGAUCGUCAAAUCUGCGCAUGGGGGCGAAAGACUUAUCGAACCAUCUAGU